rnacentral:rRNA from 1 species
GAUGAACGCUGGCGGCGUGCUUAACACAUGCAAGUCGAACGAGAAGUGAAGACGGAAACCUUCGGGCGGAAGGCUUUAUUUCGAGUGGCGGACGGGUGAGUAACGCGUGGGUAACCUGCCUCAUACAGGGGGAUAACAGUUGGAAACGACUGUUAAUACCGCAUAAGACCACAGCACCGCAUGGUGCGGGGGUAAAAACUCCGGUGGUAUGAGAUGGACCCGCGUUCGAUUAGCCAGUUGGCGGGGUAACGGCCCACCAAAGCGACGAUCGAUAGCCGGUCUGAGAGGAUGACCGGCCACAUUGGGACUGAGCCACGGCCCAAACUCCUACGGGAGGCAGCAGUGGGGAAUAUUGCACAAUGGGGGAAACCCUGAUGCAGCGACGCCGCGUGAGUGAAGAAGUAUUUCGGUAUGUAAAGCUCUAUCAGCAGGGAAGAAAAUGACGGUACCUGAGGAAGAAGCCCCGGCUAACUACGUG